rnacentral:rRNA from 1 species
UACGGAGGAUGCAAGCGUUAUCCGGAAUGAUUGGGCGUAAAGCGUCCGCAGGUGGCUGUGUAAGUCUGCUGUCAAAGAGCAAGCUCAACUUUGUAAAGGCAGUGGAAACUACACGGCUAGAGUGCGUUCGGGGCAGAGGGAAGUUCCUGGUGUAGCGGUGAAAUGCGUAGAGAUCAGGAAGAACACCGGUGGCGAAGGCGCUCUGCUAGGCCGCAACUGACACUGAGGGACGAAAGCUAGGGAGCGAAUGGG